GGGGGGGUGAAUGGCGUAGUGGUAAGCGCUGUUCAUGGAAUGCUUUCUCAAGUAGGCACUUGGUGUUGGGGCCACCACUGCUGAGACAAGAAGGUAGUGGGUUCGAAUCCCACCCUCUCCA
rnacentral:tRNA from 1 species